rnacentral:rRNA from 1 species
GGACGAACGCUGGCGGCAUGCCUAACACAUGCAAGUCGAACGGGGGUAGCAAUACCCUAGUGGCGAACGGGUGAGUAACACAUAAGCAAUCUGCCCUUCACAGGGGGAUAACAGCGGGAAACUGCUGCUAAUACCGCAUAAGACCACAGUACCGCAUGGUACAGGGGUAAAAACGAAUCAGUGGUGAAGGAUGAGCUUAUGUCCCAUUAGCUAGUUGGUGAGAUAACAGCCCACCAAGGCGACGAUGGGUAGCCGACCUGAGAGGGUGAUCGGCCACACUGGAACUGAGACACGGUCCAGACUCCUACGGGAGGCAGCAGUGGGGAAUAUUGGGCAAUGGAGGAAAAACCUCUUACCCAGCAAUGCCGCGUGAGUGAAGAAGGUCUUCGGAUUGUAGAGCUCUUUGAUUGGGGACGAAGAAAGUGACGGUACCCAAAGAACAAGCCCCGGCUAACUACGUGCCAGCCGCCGC